rnacentral:rRNA from 1 species
CUCGUAGGCGGUUCAACAAGUCGGUCGUGAAAGCCCGGGGCUCAACCCCGGGACGCCGGUCGAAACUGUUGUGACUAGGGUCCGGUAGAGGUGAGUGGAAUUCUCGGUGUAGCGGUGGAAUGCGCAGAUAUCGAGAGGAACACCAGUAGCGAAGGCGGCUCACUGGGCCGGUACCGACGCUGAGGAGCGGAAGCAUGGGGAGCAAACA